CUGCUGCCUCCCGUAGGAGUUUGGACCGUGUCUCAGUUCCAAUGUGGGGGACCUUCCUCUCAGAACCCCUACGCAUUGUCGGCUUGGUGGGCCGUUGCCCCACCAACUACCUAAUGCGCCGCAUGCCCAUCCGUGACCGGGGUCGCCCCUUUGGCCGGCAGGGGAUGUCCCCUCCCGGCAUUAUGUUGUAUUAGGCGGGAUUUCUCCCGGUUAUCCAUCUGUCACGGCCAGGUUGCAUACGUGUUACUCACCCGUGCGCCGGUCGCCGGCGG
rnacentral:rRNA from 1 species